UGCCAGCCGCCGCGGUAAUACGGGAGGGGCAAGCAUUAUUCGGAAUAAUUGGGCGUAAAGGGUUCGUCGACGGUAUAAUCAGUCAUUUGUUAAAGGCUAGAGCUCAACUCUAGUACGGCAUUUGAAACAUUUUUACUUGAGUUUAAAAGAGAAAAGGGGAAUUUUACAUGGAGAAGUGGAAUUUUAAGAUAUGUAAAGGAACACCAUAGGCGAAGGCGCCUUUUUAGUUUAAACUGACGUUUAGGAACGAAAGCAUGGGUAGCAAACAGGAUUAGAUA
rnacentral:rRNA from 1 species